UGCCAGACUCCUACGGGAGGCAGCAGUGGGGAAUAUUGCACAAUGGGGGAAACCCUGAUGCAGCAACGCCGCGUGAGUGAAGAAGUAUUUCGGUAUGUAAAGCUCUAUCAGCAGGGAAGAAAAUGACGGUACCUGAGUAAGAAGCCCCGGCUAACUACGUGCCAGCAGCCGCGGUAAUACGUAGGGGGCAAGCGUUAUCCGGAUUUACUGGGUGUAAAGGGAGCGUAGACGGCGAUGCAAGUCUGAAGUGAAAGCCCGGGGCUCAACCCCGGGACUGCUUUGGAAACUGUAUGGCUGGAGUGCUGGAGAGGCAAGCGGAAUUCCUAGUGUAGCGGUGAAAUGCGUAGAUAUUAGGAAGAACACCAGUGGCGAAGGCGGCUUGCUGGACAGUAACUGACGUUGAGGCUCGAAAGCGUGGGGAGCAAACAGGAUUAGAUACCCUGGUA
rnacentral:rRNA from 1 species